CCUGCGGGGGGCAGCAGUGGGGAAUAUUGGACAAUGGGCGAAAGCCUGAUCCAGCCAUGCCGCGUGUGUGAAGAAGGCCUUCGGGUUGUAAAGCACUUUCAGUGGGGAAGAAAGCCUUGGGGCUAAUACCCUCGAGGAAGGACAUCACCCACAGAAGAAGCACCGGCUAACUCCGUGCCAGCAGCCGCGGUAAUACGGAGGGUGCGAGCGUUAAUCGGAAUUACUGGGCGUAAAGCGCGCGUAGGCGGUCUGAUAAGCCGGUUGUGAAAGCCCCGGGCUCAACCUGGGAACGGCAUCCGGAACUGUCAGGCUAGAGUGCAGGAGAGGAAGGUAGAAUUCCCGGUGUAGCGGUGAAAUGCGUAGAGAUCGGGAGGAAUACCAGUGGCGAAGGCGGCCUUCUGGACUGACACUGACGCUGAGGUGCGAAAGCGUGGGUAGCAAACAGGAUUAGAUACCCCAGUAGUC
rnacentral:rRNA from 1 species